rnacentral:rRNA from 1 species
CCUACGGGGGGCAGCAGUGGGGAAUAUUGCACAAUGGGCGGAAGCCUGAUGCAGCAACGCCGCGUGCGGGAUGACGGCCUUCGGGUUGUAAACCGCUUUCGCCUGUGACGAAGCGUGAGUGACGGUAAUGGGUAAAGAAGCACCGGCUAACUACGUGCCAGCAGCCGCGGUAAUA